UCAAUAAGCGGAGGAAAAGAAACUAACAAGGAUUCCCCUAGUAACGGCGAGUGAAGCGGGAAGAGCUCAAAUUUGAAAGCUGUUGCCUUUGGUAACCGCAUUGUAAUCUCGAGAUCUGUUUUCCGCGCUGGACCAUGUACAAGUCCCUUGGAAUAGGGCGUCAUAGAGGGUGAGAAUCCCGUACUUGACAUGGCCUCCCAGUGCUUUGUGAUACAGGCUCAACGAGUCGAGUUGUUUGGGAAUGCAGCUCAAAAUGGGUGGUAAAUUCCAUCUAAAGCUAAAUAUUGGGGAGAGACCGAUAGCGAACAAGUACCGUGAGGGAAAGAUGAAAAGCACUUUGGAAAGAGAGUUAAACAGUACGUGAAAUUGUCAAAAGGGAACCGUUUAAAGUUAGUCAUGCUUGCCUGGACUCAGCCUUGCUUUUGCUUGGUGCAUUUCCAGGUUAGCAGGUCAGCAUCGGUUUUGACUGCUGGAUAAGGGUGAGAGGAAUGUGGCACCCUCGGGUGUGUUAUAGCCUCUUACUGGAUGCAGCAGUUGGGACCGAGGAACGCAGCGCGCCUUUAUGGCGGACCUUUGGGUACCUUCGCGCUUAGGAUGCUGGCAUAAUAGCUUUAAGCGACCCGUCUUGAAACAC
rnacentral:rRNA from 1 species